UUAGGAGGAGAAAGGUUCCAAGGUAAUCGAAAUGGCUAAAAUAGGAGAAAUGUUAGAAUUAACCAAUUGAUUUUGUAUGAUGACAUGGGUUAGAUUUGAGAAGCUAAGAAAAGACUCAGUUGUAGCUCUAUCUAAAGAUAAUGAUCUCAAUUAACUUAGAACAAUUUGAUUGUUUGCCUCUUUCACCUGUACUUAGUGGUUCUACCCUGAUAUUUGGAUGUGCACUGCUGGAUUGCCUGAAGCAAUUCAUUGUUGCUGAGCAUUUUGAGAACUAUCACUGUCACUACUGUUGGCAUAAUGCUGCGAUUAAGUAUCUUUCAUUAAUGGAACGAAAU